UGGUACCCCUCACCUCUUUUGCGUGAGCCCCUUUCUUCCCUCACCACCCUAAGGGAGCAUCACCCACACCCCACACCUCAGACUGUAUCCCACAGCCUGUCCUACUUUUUCUUGGUUUCAUUGCACGUAUCACCUUCUGACUUCGUAUACAAUUUACAUAAGGAGAAUUCGGCUUGCCAUUUAUCAUUAGACUGUGGAUACCAGCAUAUUGACUCCUCAGGAGCGAAGCUCUUUGCCUGUAUUGCUCUCCCACAAGCUUCUAGAACACAGCCUGACAUGGAGUGAAUACGCUAUGAAUGAAUCCCAGUGGUUUUCCUCUCCUUUCCUAACUUCCUCCCUGAAACAGGGGACAGGACAGCAUCAGUUCUUUCCACUGGAAAAGGUAUUAUUAAAAUCUCCAGGGAAAAAAUGGUCCUGCAGGGCAGCUUGCUGGCAUAGCCCCAGUCCCCACUUUUAGGCUCAUCUCGUUUACUCUGGUUCUCAUUUUUAUUUUUUACUUUAUUUAUUUAUUUAUUUUUGGCUGUGUGCAUGGCAUGUAGAAGUUCCCAGUCCAGGGAUCAAACCCAUGCCACAGCAGAGACUCAAAGCUGCUGCAGUGACAACACUGGAUCCUUAACCUGUUGUACUACAAGAGAACUCCCUGGUUCUCUUUUAGAGUCCUCCAAGGUCAAAGCCCUUGUAGGCUCCCGCUCUGUGAUACCCCAGGGCCUUUGCACAUGCAGUGCUUCUUUCUGUCCAAUGGACUCCUGGUUGUCAUUCAAAGCCCUGGCUAGAUGUUGCCUCUUCUAUGAGGUCCUCCAUUAUCCUCCCACUCUCUUAAGUCCUGAGAGACUUCUUCCUCCCUCUGAGUGACAUCUGUACCUUGAGUAUAUUUCUCAGUGUCUGGGUUGCCUUGUCUCCCGUGGCCAUGUUCAUGACGCCAUCAGGCUGUGUGCUCCUUGAAGGCAGAGUCUGGGCUCUGUCCCUGUGUCCUGAGCUGGCCUGGGACCUGGCAUCAUGUGGCAGUUGCCCAGUCAGUGUCUGUUUGCUGUGGACGAUGGAGAAAAUCUAACAGAUCCAGGAGACAACAAGGAGUUCUGAAGACACUUUCAAGGUCACCAGCUGGCAGGGGAUGAACAAUGUCUUAUUAUUUGAUCAUUUAUUUAUACUCUACUUUCAAAUAGGAUUUGAGGCAGCCUGAGAUGAAAGGCACAGGUUCGGCAGAAACAAACCUGUGUCUUAAAUGAUGCUUCCUUUUCCUACAAUUGGCUCUUCCUCACUGGCAUGUAGACAUGCCUCCGUCUUUUUUUUUUUUAAAUUUAUUUUAUUAGAGAAUAGUUGAUUUACAAUGUUGUGUUAGUUCCUGGUGUACAGCAAAGCAAUUCAGUUAUGCAUAUAUAAUAGUUUGCCUCUGCUAAUCUCAAACUCCCAAACCAUCCCUCCCCACCUCCCCUGAGCAACCACAAGUCUGUUCUCUGUCUGUGAGUCUGUUUCUGCUUCAUUUAUAAGUUCCUUUGUGGCACAUUUUAGAUUCCACAUAUAAGUGAUAUCACACGAUAUUUGUCUUUCUGACUUACUUCACUUUGAAUGAUAAUCUCUAGAUCCAUCCAUGUUGCUGCAAACGGCAUUAUUUCAUUCUUUUUAUGGCUGAGUAACGUUCCAUUGCAUGCACGUACCACAUGUUAAUCCAUUCAUCUGUCAUUGGACAUUUAGGUUGUUUCCAUGCAAACAGUGCUUCUAUGAAGACUGGGAUGCAUGUAUCUUUUCAAUUAUAGUUUUCUCUGGAUAUAUGCCCAGGAAUGGGAUUCCUGCAGGAACUUCCAUGCUGUUUUCCAUAGUGGCUGUACCAACUUACAUCCACACCAACAGUGUGGGAGGGUUCCCUGCCACAUCCUCUCCUGCAUUUCUCCACAUCCUCUUCAGCAUUUGUUAUUUGUAGACUUUUUAAUGAUGGCCAUUCUGACGGGUAUGGGGUGGUACUUCAUUGUAGUUUUGUUGUGCAUUUCUCUAAUAACUUGCAAGAUACGACCUCUUUUCGUGUGUAAAUAUGCCCCAGUCUCAACAAGAGACCCCACAACCCCCACAGCUCACUGUCCCUCUGCAGCCAGGCCUUCAAUGAUUGUCUCCAUUCAGACCCACUUUCUCAUCCCUCCACUAACCUGCUUUCAGCCAGGACAGUGGCUGCCUCUAUGGCACUGACUCCAGUGGAUGCUUUCUGACCUCAUCCCUGGCACUCUGGGUAGCGUGGGACCUUCUGGGGCCUCUUACCCCUUCCUUUACUCGGCUUACGUGCUCCCAUGCCCUCAAGGUUUCCUUCUACCUCUUGGUUUCUCCAUCCCAGCCUCCCUUGCAGGUGGCUUUUCCUCUGCCCACCCCAGAAACACCUGUGCUCCCCAGGGUUCCCUCCCUGACCCCCUCUCUGCUCACCUACACACACUCCCCUGGCAACUCUCAGUUCCUUCAACUGCUAUCACUAUUGGGGUUAGUUGGGGGUAAUUCUAGAAACAGACAACCCCCCCAGACCUCAAUGGCUCAGCCCAGAGAAUGUUUUUUACUUGCAUAAAGUCUAUUCAGCAGGGAGGGCAGGAGGGAUCUGCUCUCUCUGGUCAUCAAGGAAGCUUUCACUUGGCUGUCACUGACCUUGGCUCUGUGUUCAGGGGAGAAUGUGCCCCUGGACAAGGGCAGGGGCGGGGAGAGAGGGAGGGUGCCAUGGAUGAGGGGUUUGAGGUAGAUAGAGUGCAGGGAGAGCCAGGUGGCCCAGCCUGUCCCCUCAAACUCUGUUGUGAGGCUCCAUGGCAGCGUGGACAAAUCCUAUGCUGAUGAGGAAGUCCCCCUAUAGGCAGGAACAUACUUCUCAUUCUCACAUUUCUUGGGCCGAGGAAAGACCUACCAGUUGGCUAAACCCAGGAGUUGGGUGUGUGGGUAGAAGUAAACAGGUGGCUUGCUGCUGGGGACUAUGCAGGGACAUCCUGACUAGAGGGCCCUGUGUGACUGGCCCUUUGGCUAUAAAUUCAUGUCCAGAGCAUGAGGAUUCACCCAGAACCCUGACUCAGCCUUUCUGCCGGUGCUCAGAGCCCGUGCUGGGCGUGCAGCAUGGCUGAUUGUCAAAUCCAUCACCCACGGUCCAUGGCAUGACCGUGGGCACGUCACCAGCUCUUGAAGCCAGGCUGGCUGGACGGUCCAUCCUCCUCAAAGGAAGGGAGAUCCAACAAUCUGACAUUGAUUGAGCACCUACUGUGUGCCAGACACUCUCCUAAGUGCUUUAUAUCCAUUAUCAUUGAAUUCUCACAAUAGUCCAGGAAGGAAGGGCCAGUCUUCAUCCUCAUCUCACAGACUAAGAAACCAAGACGCUUAGGAAGCUUUAGGAAGCUUCGCACAUGAAAAUAACAAGGAGGAUGCCCAAAGGUUGCAUAUUUCAAAGGUCCAAGAGCUUACUAUUAUUGUUAUUAUUUUGCUUUUUAGGGCCACACCUGCAGCAUAUGGAAGUGCCCAAGCUAGAGACUGAAUCGGAGCUGCAGCUGCCAGCCUACACCACAGCUCAUGGCAAUGCCAGAUCCAUAACCCACUGAGAGAGGCCAGGGGUUGAACCCGCAUCCUCAUGGAUUCUAGUUGGUUUUGUUAAUGCUGAGCCAUGAUGGGAACUCCCCAACAGCUUAUUUUCAAACUCUCACUGGGUCCACAUCUUUAACACUUCUAGGACCACAGGAGAGAAAGGAAAGAGGUGUGGCCUGAGCCUACCAUCCAGAGCCCAGCAUUCUAGAUGAGUGAUGUGUACAAAUCAUUUUAACCUCUUGAAGACUCAGGUUCCUCAUCUGUCAAAUGGGCACAUGGUGCUGAUCUCCAAGGGCAAGAAAAGGAGAUUUACAGACUGCGAAUGUCUGCGUCUCUUCUGUAUUCAGGCUGCUCCCGUCUCUGCUUAGAUGUUUCCUCGGCGUCUUCUCCUCUUUGAUCUUUCUCCUUCCUCUGUGUCAUCUUCUCUGCACAGAAGCCAGAGGGGUGUUUUUUGUUUUUGUUUUUGUUUUUUUGAAACAGAAAUCAGUUCACGUUAAGUUCUUGCUUAAAACCUUUAAAUGGGUUCAUAUACCGCUCCAGAACCCUAUGUGACAUGGCCCUGCCUGUCCCCUAGGGCCUAUCUCUCACCACUACCCCUGCCUUUAGCUCUCUCUCUUCAGCCCAACCCCUGACACACUUCCAUUCCUUCUCCACACUGUGCUCUUUUCCCGUCCCUGGGCCUUUGCACAUGCCUCCCUCUCAACCUGGAACGUACUUUUCUCAUGCUCUUCACCUGGCAACACCGGUUCCUCCUUCAAACUGCAACAGAAACUUGCUAAGGGGGAGUUCCCAUUGUGGUGCAGCGAAAACAAAUCUGACUAGUAUCCAUGAGGAUGUGGGUUUGAUCCCUGGCCUCACUCGGUGGGUUGGGGAUCCAGUGUUGCCAUGAGCUGUGGUGUGGGUUGCAGACACAGCUCAUAUCUGGCAUUGCUGUGGCAGCGGCGUAGACCGGCCGCUGUAGCUCUGAUUCCACCCCUAGCCUGGAAACUUCCAUAUGCCACAGGUGCGGUAUUGAAAAAA
rnacentral:lncRNA from 1 species